AUUCCAAUCGAACACGGAGAUAGCUGGUUCUCCCCGAAAUAGCUUUAGGGCUAGCCUGAGGUAGUAAGUAUAGGCGGUAGAGCACUGAUCGGGCUAGGGGCCGUAAAGGUUACCGAACCCUGUCAAACUCCGAAUGGAUAUACUGUAGAGCCUUGGAGUCAGACUACGAGUGAUAAGAUCCGUGGUCAAAAGGGAAACAGCCCAGACCACCAGCUAAGGUCCCCAAUGUCGUACUAAGUGGAAAAGGAUGUGGGGUUUCAUAAACAACCAGGAUGUUGGCUCAGAAGCAGCCACCAUUUAAAGAGUGCGUAAUAGCUCACUGGUCGAGAGACCCUGCGCCGAAGAUUCCCGGGGCUAAAGUACGAAACCGAAGCUGUGGCUGUAUACGUAAAGUAUACGGGGUAGGGGAGCGUUCCCAUAGGGUAGAAGUCGAACUGGAAGGUUCGGUGGACUUGUGGGAAGUGAGAAUGUUGGUAUGAGUAGCGAAAAGAAAGGUGAGAAUCCUUUCCACCGAAAGCAUAAGGAUUCCUGAGCAACGAUCGUCGUCUCAGGGUAAGUCGGGACCUAAUCCGAGGCAGAGAGCGUAGGAGAUGGACAACUGGUUGAUAUUCCAGUACCGGUAGUAAUUGUUUGAGCAAUGGAGUGACACAGAAGGGCAGGCAAGCAUGCGAAUGGAAGAGCAUGUGUAAGCGUGUAGGGUGGUGCAUAGGCAAAUCCGUGCACUGAAAGCCUGAGGCGUGAUGCGGAGUGAGCAGAGAUGCGAGCGAAGUUGUUGACCCCACACUGUCGAGAAAAGCUUCUAGUGAGAGAGCUACCGCCCGUACCGUAAACCGACACAGGUAUGCGGGGAGAGAAUCCUAAGGUGCGCGGGAGAACCCUCGUUAAGGAACUCGGCAAAAUGUACCCGUAACUUCGGGAUAAGGGUAGCCACUGUUGUGAAGUCCCAUGCGGAUGGAGCAUAGAGUGGUCGCAGAGAAGAGGCCCAAGCGACUGUUUACCAUAAACACAGGUGCCUGCUAAAGCGAAAGCUGACGUAUAGGUGCUGACACCUGCCCAGUGCCGGAAGGUUAAGGAAGGAUGUUCGGAGUAAUCCAAAGCAUUCGACUGAAGCCCCGGUGAACGGCGGCCGUAACUAUAACGGUCCUAAGGUAGCGAAAUUCCUUGUCGGGUAAG
rnacentral:rRNA from 1 species